GACGAACGCUGGCGGCGUGCUUAACACAUGCAAGUCGAACGGUGAUGCUCCAGCUUGCUGGAGUGGAUCAGUGGCGAACGGGUGAGUAACACGUGAGCAACCUGCCCCAGACUCUGGAAUAAGCGCUGGAAACGGCGUCUAAUACUGGAUACGAAACUGGCCCGCAUGGGCAUGGUUUGGAAAGUUUUUCGGUUUGGGAUGGGCUCGCGGCCUAUCAGCUUGUUGGUGAGGUAAUGGCUCACCAAGGCGACGACGGGUAGCCGGCCUGAGAGGGCGACCGGCCACACGGGGACUGAGACACGGCCCAGACUCCUACGGGAGGCAGCAGUGGGGAAUAUUGCACAAUGGGCGAAAGCCUGAUGCAGCGACGCCGCGUGAGGGAUGACGGCCUUCGGGUUGUAAACCUCUUUCAGCAGGGAAGAAGCGAAAGUGACGGUACCUGCAGAAGAAGCACCGGCUAACUACGUG
rnacentral:rRNA from 1 species